rnacentral:rRNA from 1 species
GAUGAACGCUGGCGGCGUGCCUAAUACAUGCAAGUCGAGCGAAAAGAUGAGGAGCUUGCUCCUCUGACGUUAGCGGCGGACGGGUGAGUAACACGUGGAUAACCUACCUAUAAGACUGGGAUAACUUCGGGAAACCGGAGCUAAUACCGGAUAAUAUAUUGAACCGCAUGGUUCAAUAGUGAAAGACGGUUUUGCUGUCACUUAUAGCUGGAUCCGCGCCGGAUUAGCUAGUUGGUAAGGUAACGGCUUACCAAGGCAACGAUGCGUAGCCGACCUGAGAGGGUGAUCGGCCACACUGGAACUGAGACACGGUCCAGACUCCUACGGGAGGCAGCAGUAGGGAAUAUUCCGCAAUGGGCGAAAGCCUGACGGAGCAACGCCGCGUGAGUGAUGAAGGUCUUCGGAUCGUAAAACUCUGUUAUUAGGGAAGAACAAAUGUGUAAGUAACUAUGCACGUCUUGACGGUACCUAAUCAGAAAGCCACGGCUAACUACGUG